CUGUGUGCAAUAACAAUUAAUAAAAGAAAAGUUUUACUUAUCUUUUUAUAGCGGCGAGGCUCACUGGGCACUGUGCAACUCUCUUCGUCAAGCAGGCAUGGCCUCCUCUGACGAUGGUCCAAUUCAAUGCUCCUCAUAAAGUAAUAUUGGGGACUUGAUGCAUCCAAGCACUGCAUGCUUAUCUAGGCUUCUUCAUAGGCUUUCCUAUAACCUUUCAUGUCAUGUGACUGAGUUUUACUCGGUCAGUGCAGCAGAUG